AAGUCGUAACAAGGUUUCCGUAGGUGAACCUGCGGAAGGAUCAUUACCGAUUUUAUCAAAAUCUAAAAAAAAUGCUCAUGCAUGUAUUUGCAUGUUGCAACCAAUUCUAUAGAAACUUUAAAUGUAAUGAAAGAUUCUAUAGCGUGUAUUUGCCAUUGUUGUGAUGCACGUUAAAUCGUUAUGGUAUAACCUGUGAUUUUAAUGUUUAAAUGAAAUCCUAAAUUUACCAUGCUCAUCCAUAUCAUCUCGAGAUAUGGUGAGCAAUGCAUUAUAUUCAAACUUUGAAUAUAAAAAUACAAAAUAUAAAAAAAAUAAAUUAAAAGACAACCUCGAGUGGUGGAUCACUCGGCUCGUGG
rnacentral:misc_RNA from 1 species